GGAUUCCCCUAGUAACUGCGAGUGAAGCGGGAAAAGCUCAAAUUUAAAAUCUGGCAGCCUUUGGUUGUCCGAGUUGUAAUCUAGAGAAGUGCUAUCCGCGCUGGACCGUGUACAAGUCUCCUGGAAUGGAGCGUCAUAGAGGGUGAGAAUCCCGUCUUUGACACGGACUGCCAGGGCUUUGUGAUGUGCUCUCGAAGAGUCGAGUUGUUUGGGAAUGCAGCUCAAAAUGGGUGGUAAAUUCCAUCUAAAGCUAAAUAUUGGCGAGAGACCGAUAGCGAACAAGUACCGUGAGGGAAAGAUGAAAAGAACUUUGGAAAGAGAGUUAAACAGUACGUGAAAUUGCUGAAAGGGAAACGCUUGAAGUCAGUCGCGUUGUCCAGGGAUCAACCUUGCUUUUGCUUGGUGCACUUUCUGGUUGACGGGUCAGCAUCAAUUUUGACCAUUGGAAAAAGAUUAGGGGAAUGUGACAUCUUAGGAUGUGUUAUAGCCCUUGGUUGCAUACAAUGGUUGGGAUUGAGGAACUCAGCACGCCGCAAGGCCGGGUUUUCAACCACGUACGUGCUUAGGAUGCUGGCAUAAUGGCUUUAAUCGACCCGUCUUGAAACACGGACCAAGGAGUCUAACAUGCCUGCGAGUGUUUGGGUGGAAAACCCGAGCGCGUAAUGAAAGUGAAAGUUGAGAUCCCUAUCAUGGGGAGCAUCGACGCCCGGACCUGACCUUUUGUGACGGUUCCGCGGUAGAGCAUGUAUGUUGGGACCCGAAAGAUGGUGAACUAUGCCUGAAUAGGGUGAAGCCAGAGGAAACUCUGGUGGAGGCUCGUAGCGAUUCUGACGUGCAAAUCGAUCGUCAAAUUUGGGUAUAGGGGCGAAAGACUAAUCGA
rnacentral:rRNA from 1 species